UUUCUAUUAGAUGACCCAACUCUUAAAGAUUAAACUUCCAAUUUAAUCCAUAACAGAAGCAUUGAAAAAUGGCUCAAACGUUUCCUCUCUAACCCAAGCCUAUAUACCUGGUUUUAUGCCUGCCUCCCCAAAACGAUGUUGUCUUAAAGAGGUUAAAUAAGAGUUCCCAAGUCUAUAUACCUUGUUUUAUGCAUGGCUCCCAAAAACGACACUGUU
rnacentral:lncRNA from 1 species